UACAGAGGGUGCGAGCGUUAAUCGGAAUUACUGGGCGUAAAGGGCGCGUAGGCGGUUUAUCAAGUGAGAUGUGAAAUCCCCGGGCUUAACCUGGGAACUGCAUCUUAAACUGAUAGGCUGGAGUACUGUGGAGGAUAGUGGAAUUUCCGGUGUAGCGGUGAAAUGCGUAGAGAUCGGAAGGAACAUCAGUGGCGAAGGCGACUGUCUGGACAGAUACUAACGCUGAGGCGCGAAAGCGUGGGGAGCAAACAGG
rnacentral:rRNA from 1 species